UGGGGAAUUUUGCACAAUGGGGGAAACCCUGAUGCAGCGACGCCGCGUGUUUUAGAAGGCCUUCGGGUUGUAAAAAUCUUUUCUAUGGGAAGAAAAUGACAGUACCAUAGGAAUAAGGACCGGCUAAUUACGUGCCAGCAGCCGCGGUAAUACGUAAGGUCCGAGCGUUGUCCGGAAUCAUUGGGCGUAAAGGGUACGUAGGCGGGUAAGCAAGUUAGAAGUGAAAUCCUGUAGCUCAACUACAGUAAGCUUUUAAAACUGCUCAUCUUGAGAUAUGGAAGGGAAAGUGGAAUUCCUAGGGUAGCGGUGAAAUGCGCAGAUAUUAGGAGGAAUACCGGUGGCGAAGGCGACUUUCUGGCCAUAAUCUGACGCUGAGGUACGAAAGCGUGGGUAGCAAACAGG
rnacentral:rRNA from 1 species